UCUCAGAGAGACCGGGGCCUCAGAUGGGCAGAGGGGAGGAUCUUAGGUUCUGCUGAGAGUCAAGCUGAAGCCCCCGAGGGAGGACUGAGGGGACCCUGGACCCCAGACAGAGGAGACCUGAGAGAAGCCCAUUCCUGUUGUCGGCCCUGGGCAGCCCAGGAGUAGAAUGAGCCCACAGACACGGUCUAACUUCCUGACAUCCGGGUCUCAGACUGAGGACCUGGAGGGGGCGGGCUUCCUGACAGCCAGUCUCAGACUGGGGACCUGGCACAGGGGGCGGAGUUCCUGACAUCCGGGGCUUGGAGAGACUGGGGAACUGGUAUAAAAGACGGGGCUUCAGUUGGGUUGAGGAGAGAAUCCCGGGUGCUGCCUGGAGACAAGGAGCUCCAGGAACCAGGAGGUGGAGGUCUGAGGCUGGUGUCCUGAGGUCAGAGAGCAGAGGAGGUCCAGGCAGAACCAGGAGUCAAGGCCCGUGGUCCCCCAUCUGUCACCUCUGCCCACACUCCUGUCU
rnacentral:lncRNA from 1 species